GGGUUGUGAGGUUAAGCGACUAAGCGUACACGGUGGAUGCCCUGGCAGUCAGAGGCGAUGAAGGACGUGCUAAUCUGCGAAAAGCGUCGGUAAGGUGAUAUGAACCGUUACAGCCGGCGAUGUCCGAAUGGGGAAACCCAGUGCAAUUCGUUGCACUAUCGUUAACUGAAUACAUAGGUUAACGAGGCGAACCGGGGGAACUGAAACAUCUAAGUACCCCGAGGAAAAGAAAUCAACCGAGAUUCCCCCAGUAGCGGCGAGCGAACGGGGAGCAGCCCAGAGUCUGAAUCAGCUUGUGUGUUAGUGGAACGGUCUGGAAAGUCCGACGGUACAGGGUGAUAGUCCCGUACACCAAAAUGCACAGGUUGUGAACUCGAAGAGUAGGGCGGGACACGUGGUAUCCUGUCUGAAUAUGGGGGGACCAUCCUCCAAGGCUAAAUACUCCUGACUGACCGAUAGUGAACCAGUACCGUGAGGGAAAGGCGAAAAGAACCACGGCGAGGGGAGUGAAAAAGAACCUGAAACCGUGUACGUACAAGCAGUGGGAGCACCUUCGGGUGUGACUGCGUACCUUUUGUAUAAUGGGUCAGCGACUUAUAUUCGGUAGCAAGGUUAACCGUAUAGGGGAGCCGCAGGGAAACCGAGUCUUAACUGGGUGUUAAGUUGCAGGGUAUAGACCCGAAACCAGGUGAUCACGCCAUGGGCAGGAUGAAGGUCGGGGAACACGAACUGGAGGACCGAACCGACUAAUGUUGAAAAAUUAGCGGAUGACUUGUGGCUGGGGGUGAAAGGCCAAUCAAACCGGGAGAUAGCUGGUUCUCCCCGAAAGCUAUUUAGGUAGCGCCUCGUGAACUCAUCUUCGGGGGUAGAGCACUGUUUCGGCUAGGGGGUCAUCCCGACUUACCAACCCGAUGCAAACUACGAAUACCGAAGAAUGUUAUCACGGGAGACACACGGCGGGUGCUAACGUCCGUCGUGAAGAGGGAAACAACCCAGACCGCCAGCUAAGGUCCCAAAGUCAUGGUUAAGUGGGAAACGAUGUGGGAAGGCACAGACAGCCAGGAUGUUGGCUUAGAAGCAGCCAUCAUUUAAAGAAAGCGUAAUAGCUCACUGGUCGAGUCGGCCUGCGCGGAAGAUGUAACGGGGCUAAACCAUGCACCGAAGCUGCGGCAGCGACACUAUGUGUUGUUGGGUAGGGGAGCGUUCUGUAAGCCUGCGAAGGUGUGCUGUGAGGCAUGCUGGAGGUAUCAGAAGUGCGAAUGCUGACAUAAGUAACGAUAAAGCGGGUGAAAAGCCCGCUCGCCGGAAGACCAAGGGUUCCUGUCCAACGUUAAUCGGGGCAGGGUGAGUCGACCCCUAAGGCGAGGCCGAAAGGCGUAGUCGAUGGGAAACAGGUUAAUAUUCCUGUACUUGGUGUUACUGCGAAGGGGGGACGGAGAAGGCUAUGUUAGCCGGGCGACGGUUGUCCCGGUUUAAGCAUGUAGGCUGGUUAUCCAGGCAAAUCCGGAUAAUCAAGGCUGAGGUGUGAUGACGAGGCACUACGGUGCUGAAGUAACAAAUGCCCUGCUUCCAGGAAAAGCCUCUAAGCAUCAGGUAACAUCAAAUCGUACCCCAAACCGACACAGGUGGUCAGGUAGAGAAUACCAAGGCGCUUGAGAGAACUCGGGUGAAGGAACUAGGCAAAAUGGUGCCGUAACUUCGGGAGAAGGCACGCUGGUGUGUAGGUGAAGUCCCUGCGGAUGGAGCUGAGACCAGUCGAAGAUACCAGCUGGCUGCAACUGUUUAUUAAAAACACAGCACUGUGCAAACACGAAAGUGGACGUAUACGGUGUGACGCCUGCCCGGUGCCGGAAGGUUAAUUGAUGGGGUUAUCCGUAAGGAGAAGCUCUUGAUCGAAGCCCCGGUAAACGGCGGCCGUAACUAUAACGGUCCUAAGGUAGCGAAAUUCCUUGUCGGGUAAGUUCCGACCUGCACGAAUGGCGUAAUGAUGGCCAGGCUGUCUCCACCCGAGACUCAGUGAAAUUGAACUCGCUGUGAAGAUGCAGUGUACCCGCGGCAAGACGGAAAGACCCCGUGAACCUUUACUAUAGCUUGACACUGAACAUUGAGCCUUGAUGUGUAGGAUAGGUGGGAGGCUUUGAAGCGUGGACGCCAGUCUGCGUGGAGCCAACCUUGAAAUACCACCCUUUAAUGUUUGAUGUUCUAACGUUGGCCCCUGACCGGGGUUGCGGACAGUGUCUGGUGGGUAGUUUGACUGGGGCGGUCUCCUCCCAAAGCGUAACGGAGGAGCACGAAGGUUAGCUAAUCCUGGUCGGACAUCAGGAGGUUAGUGCAAUGGCAUAAGCUAGCUUGACUGCGAGCGUGACGGCGCGAGCAGGUGCGAAAGCAGGUCAUAGUGAUCCGGUGGUUCUGAAUGGAAGGGCCAUCGCUCAACGGAUAAAAGGUACUCCGGGGAUAACAGGCUGAUACCGCCCAAGAGUUCAUAUCGACGGCGGUGUUUGGCACCUCGAUGUCGGCUCAUCACAUCCUGGGGCUGAAGUAGGUCCCAAGGGUAUGGCUGUUCGCCAUUUAAAGUGGUACGCGAGCUGGGUUUAGAACGUCGUGAGACAGUUCGGUCCCUAUCUGCCGUGGGCGCUGGAGAAUUGAGGGGGGCUGCUCCUAGUACGAGAGGACCGGAGUGGACGCAUCACUGGUGUUCGGGUUGUCAUGCCAAUGGCACUGCCCGGUAGCUAAAUGCGGAAGAGAUAAGUGCUGAAAGCAUCUAAGCACGAAACUUGCCCCGAGAUGAGUUCUCCCUGAGACUAUAAGUCUCCUGAAGGAACGUUAAAGACGAUGACGUUGAUAGGCCGGGUGUGUAAGCGCAGCGAUGCGUUGAGCUAACCGGUACUAAUGAACCGUGAGGCUUAACCUUACAACGCCGAAG
rnacentral:rRNA from 1 species